rnacentral:misc_RNA from 1 species
AACGCACCUUGCGCUCCUUGGUAUUCCGAGGAGCAUGCCUGUUUGAGUGUCUUGAAGUCAUCAACCCGUCCGCGUUUGUCGCGGGACGGAGUUGGAUCUGGGGGACUGCGGCCGUCCAGGCCCGCUCCCCUCAAAUGCUUCGGUAGGGCCCGUGGGUUCGGACUCGGUUCUGGGCGUUGUACCAACCUCGCUCGCGUUCCCGAGAGACGCUCCCCGCCUCCUCGGAGGGGCCCCUCCAAAGACCGUCCGCUAGGCGACGGCCAAAAGAACGAAAGCCAGCCUUUCGAAAUCUGACCUCAAAUCAGGUAGGACUACCCGCUGAACUUAA